rnacentral:rRNA from 1 species
CCUACGGGUGGCAGCAGUGAGGAAUAUUGGUCAAUGGGCGCGAGCCUGAACCAGCCAAGUCGCGUGAGGGAAGACUGUCCUAUGGAUUGUAAACCUCUUUUGUCGGGGAGUAAAAGCCGCCACGCGUGGCUUUCCGUGAGUACCCGAAGAAUAAGGAUCGGCUAACUCCGUGCCAGCAGCCGCGGUAAUACGGAGGAAUCGAGCGUUAUCCUGUUUUAUUGGGUUUAAAGGGUGCGCGGGCGGACGAUCAAGUCAGUGGUAAAAUUGAGAGGCUCAACAUCUUCGAGCCGUUGAAACUGGUUUUCUUGAGUGAGUGUGAAGUAUGCGGAAUGCGUGGUGUAGCGGUGAAAUGCAUAGAUAGCACGCAGAACUCAGAUUGCGAAGGCAGCAUACCGGCGCUCAACUGACGCUCAUGCACGAAAGUGUGGGUAUCGAACAGGAUUAGAUACCCGGGUAGUC